rnacentral:rRNA from 1 species
AUUGAACGCUGGCGGCAGGCCUAACACAUGCAAGUCGAACGGUAACAGGAAGCAGCUUGCUGCUUUGCUGACGAGUGGCGGACGGGUGAGUAAUGUCUGGGAAACUGCCUGAUGGAGGGGGAUAACUACUGGAAACGGUAGCUAAUACCGCAUAACGUCGCAAGACCAAAGAGGGGGACCUUCGGGCCUCUUGCCAUCGGAUGUGCCCAGAUGGGAUUAGCUAGUAGGUGGGGUAACGGCUCACCUAGGCGACGAUCCCUAGCUGGUCUGAGAGGAUGACCAGCCACACCGGAACUGAGACACGGUCCAGACUCCUACGGGAGGCAGCAGUGGGGAAUAUUGCACAAUGGGCGCAAGCCUGAUGCAGCCAUGCCGCGUGUAUGAAGAAGGCCUUCGGGUUGUAAAGUACUUUCAGCGGGGAGGAAGGGAGUAAAGUUAAUACCUUUGCUCAUUGACGUUACCCGCAGAAGAAGCACCGGCUAACUCCGUG